CCAUGGUCUGGAAAUGCACCAACUGAUCUAAUAUGCUCCUUGUACUUGCAAAAUAUAGCAAACAUGUUAGUGAAGGAAAACUACUGUUCUAGGUUCUUGUGGGUUUUGGAAUCAAGAGUUGGAAAUUGGUGAUUAUUGAAAUAAAAAGUAGGAAGCUUUGGGUAGUAUUAUUUCUAUAGGUAAAGAUUGUAGCUAGCAAAGAACUGCCCUCAGACUCUUUAUUCCCUAGGGUUUUGUAUGUUUUGGGAAGGGAGAAAGAGUGUAGGGUGGGGUUAGCAGUGGAUUCAGAGAGUUCCUGGGAGAUAGUUGUACCCCGGGUUUUUUUGGCUUGCUAAUUUCUGGUUCUUAUGGGGGAUGAAGUGGGUUUGGUGUUUGUUAAUGUGAUUGAGAUGAUGGCCAGAAAGGGAGAGGCCAUAACUAUGCUUAGGAGUGAUACUGAAAGGUUGGAGUGUGAGGGAUUGUCUAGCU
rnacentral:lncRNA from 1 species